rnacentral:tRNA from 1 species
GCGGAGGUGGCGGAACAGGCAGACGCGCCAGGUUGAGGGCCUGGUCCCCGGUCACGGGGGUGGGGGUUCGAAUCCCCCCCUCCGCA